rnacentral:tRNA from 2 species
GGCCGGGUGGCAGAGUGGCUCAUGCGGAGGACUGCAAAUCCUUUUAUGCCGGUUCGAUUCCGGCCCCGGCCUCCA